AUGCAUGUGCGCUUAGAAUUCGGAUAUAGUCACAUUUGGCAAUAUCCAAGAUUAUUGUUAUCUAAUAGAUUUUUCAUGUUUCUUUCUUUUUGCAGAAAUCAUUUACCUUUCAAUCUUGGAAGGCCCUAAGCUGAAGGAGAGCAUCAAUUGUCAUGAGAGAUAAGCAAUAUCUAUUAGACACACAUACUAUCAGGCUAACGCAAACCACUCGGGAAUGAAGAACUUACUUCCCAACAAGGAAAGUCCAGUGAUUGGGCAACAACAUGUGGAAGGAUAAUUACUGGAUACUUUUUUUAGCGAACAACUGCGGAGCGAUUUGCUGUCUCAAAACAUGAGACACAAUGAGGUGAAAGAGAUGUGAUGGACAUAGAAGAGUAAACCCAUGAGGACAAAGAGAUGUGAUGCACAUAGAAGGAGGAAGCAAGGACCUCGAUCCACAUUAUUGAAGACAUACAUAAGAACAAGAGUAUCACACUUCACACAUCAACCAAUCAAUGACACAUGUUGGUAUUGGGGCAUAUCGCCCUCCCUUGCAUU